rnacentral:rRNA from 1 species
UUGAAAGGGAAACGAUUGAAGUCAGUCAUACCAACGGGAAAUCAACCUCUUGAGCUCGGUCUCGUGGGUUUUGAAGAGUUUCAAAGCCUUCGGAUUCGCGGGAUUGGGAUCUCUUGGUGUACUUUUUCGUACGGUUAGUCAACAUCGGUUUUGUAUGUCAUAAAAUGACUGGAGGAAUGUAGCUUCGAUCUCGUAUUGAAGUGUUAUAGCCUUUGGUAGAUGUGAUGUUUGAGACCGAGGAUUGCAACGGAUACCCUUCAGGGCUAUUCGUCUGAUCUCUGAUACGUUGCCUUGAUGUUGAAAGCUCGCUUAUGAUGUUAGGGUAUUACGGUCAAAAGGUUAGAGCGAAUUACAUUCGUUAAGGAUGUUGACGUA